rnacentral:rRNA from 1 species
UUGUCUCAAAGAUUAAGCCAUGCAUGUCUCAGUACAAGCCAAAUUAAGGUGAAACCGCGAAAGGCUCAUUAAAUCAGUUAUGGUUCCUUAGAUCGUACCAACAUUUACUUGGAUAACUGUGGUAAUUCUAGAGCUAAUACAUGCAAACAGAGCUCCGACCGGAGACGGAAGGAGCGCUUUUAUUAGAUCAAAACCAAUCGGCGCCGUGCUCGUUCGCGAGCUCGUCGCCGUUCUAAUUGACGAAUCUGAAUAACUUUCUGCUGAUCGCACGGUCUUGCACCGGCGACGCAUCUUUCAAAUGUCUGCCUUAUCAACUGUCGAUGGUAGGUUCUGUGCCUACCAUGGUAGUAACGGGUAACGGGGAAUCAGGGUUCGAUUCCGGAGAGGGAGCCUGAGAAACGGCUACCACAUCCAAGGAAGGCAGCAGGCGCGCAAAUUACCCACUCCCGGCACGGGGAGGUAGUGACGAAAAAUAACGAUACGGGACUCAUCCGAGGCCCCGUAAUCGGAAUGAGAACAAUUUAAAUCCUUUAGCGAGGAUCAAUUGGAGGGCAAGUCUGGUGCCAGCAGCCGCGGUAAUUCCAGCUCCAAUAGCGUAUAUUAAAGUUGUUGCGGUUAAAAAGCUCGUAGUCGAAUCUGUGACCCGCGCCGUCGGUUCGUCGCUCGCGGCGUUUAACUGGCGUGUACGCGGGACGUCCUGCCGUUGGGAUUAGCCCUUUCACGAGGGCUGCCCAAGCAUAGUCUCGCCGCGGUGCUCUUCACCGAGUGUCGAGGCGGGCCGGCACGUUUACUUUGAACAAAUUAGAGUGCUUAAAGCAGGCUCAAAUUUUGCCUGAAUACUUCGUGCAUGGAAUAAUGGAAUAGGACCUCGGUUCUAUUUUGUUGGUUUUCGGAACCCCGAGGUAAUGAUUAAUAGGAACGGAUGGGGGCAUUCGUAUUGCGACGUUAGAGGUGAAAUUCUUGGAUCGUCGCAAGACGGACAGAAGCGAAAGCAUUUGCCAAAAACGUUUUCAUUGAUCAAGAACGAAAGUUAGAGGUUCGAAGGCGAUCAGAUACCGCCCUAGUUCUAACCAUAAACGAUGCCAGCUAGCGAUCCGCCGACGUUCCUCCGAUGACUCGGCGGGCAGCUUCCGGGAAACCAAAGCUUUUGGGUUCCGGGGGAAGUAUGGUUGCAAAGCUGAAACUUAAAGGAAUUGACGGAAGGGCACCACCAGGAGUGGAGCCUGCGGCUUAAUUUGACUCAACACGGGAAACCUCACCAGGCCCGGACACCGGAAGGAUUGACAGAUUGAGAGCUCUUUCUUGAUUCGGUGGGUGGUGGUGCAUGGCCGUUCUUAGUUGGUGGAGCGAUUUGUCUGGUUAAUUCCGAUAACGAACGAGACUCUGGCCUGCUAACUAGGCGUAUUUCCGACAUCUCGGAAACCCGUCGGCUGGCGCGUUCGCGCGUCUAGUCGUUCGUGGUUUUUACUGUCGGCGUACAAACAAUUCUUCUUAGAGGGACAGGCGGCUUCUAGCCGCACGAGAUAGAGCAAUAACAGGUCUGUGAUGCCCUUAGAUGUUCUGGGCCGCACGCGCGCUACACUGAAGGAAUCAGCGUGUCCUCCCUGGCCGAGCGGCCCGGGUAACCCGCUGAACCUCCUUCGUGCUAGGGAUUGGGGCUUGCAAUUGUUCCCCAUAAACGAGGAAUUCCCAGUAAGCGCGAGUCAUAAGCUCGCGUUGAUUACGUCCCUGCCCUUUGUACACACCGCCCGUCGCUACUACCGAUUGAAUGAUUUAGUGAGGUCUUCGGACCGGCACGCGGUUGCGUUUCGACGUCGCCGAUGCUGCUGGAAAGAUGACCAAACUUGAUCAUUU